AGAUGAGAUAUCCCUACGAAAGUAGUAAGACCCCUUGAAGACGACGAGGUAGAUAGGGCAGAGGUGGAAGCAUGGUAACAUGUGGAGCUGACUGUUACUAAUCGGUCGAGGGCAUAACCGAA
rnacentral:rRNA from 1 species